GGCUAGCUUACAGAAUCCUACGAAAGACCCGAGACUCAAGAUUGUCUCAGGACUGGAUUUUAUAAUCCUGCUUGAGAUUUUACCAUCUCGGGAUCGUAAAAUGGGGAGGAAUAGGCGGCAAAAAAAAAAAAAAAAAAGGGUAGGAUGGAUCCCGUGUCACAGGACCUAGGACCGCACCCUGAAGCCUCCUGUGACUGCUUGGCCUCUGUGACACCGUCAGCCUGGACCCACCCCCCCCCGCACCCCCAGCCUGGGUGCUCAGAGAUCAAGGUUGCUGCUGCUGUCAGUAGCCUUCAUGCUUGCCUCUCAGCCCUUGACAGUGUCUGUGAGUCAGAGCACAGCCAGACCUCAGUGUCCUGUCCCCGCUGAACUGCAAGGGACCAGAAAACUGAGAGGAAAAUGGGAUACUCUCAGCCUUAUUUCGCACUAAUGCAGUGAGCACUCGAUGCCAGGUGCUCCUCGGAGGAUCUGGGUGUGGAGGACCUGUAUCAAAGUCUCCUGGACAAUUUGAUUUGAAAAACGUGCUUGGUGAAACCCGGUGACCCCGUCCAGUCGGUCCGGUCUGCGGAAGAGGGAGGUAUUGGGGUUACGUACCUCUGUGGUGUGAGUCUCCACUCAGCCCAGCUUCUCUUGCUGCCUCCAGGGCCCCACCUGAGGUCUGCUUCCAGGCCGGGAAAUACGUUCGCUGGAGAAGAGAAGGCUUUUCCAGCAGCCGAGACAAGGAAACCCUCUAAAAGACCAGGCGGUGUCCAGAGACAAAUAAAAGCACUUAACCAAGGAUCGCAGGUUUCCCUGUGGCCCCGGUGAGGGGCUGCUGAUCCAUUUAUUCUGCAAACAGCUUUGAACUAGACCACGUCUCAGUCAUCUCUUCGCUUACUUCCCGGGAUCUCGCUCAGACGUACAGGUAACAUAAUGUGCCCUUCAUAACUGAGGAGACAAGCAGCAAAGAAGUUGUGAUUCCUUUCAUGGUCACAUAGCUAGUGGCUGGGUGCAUACAAGGUUUAAAUCCAAGCUUUCGAACAGCGGGAUGCAAAGACGUCCCCUGAAACCCAAAAGGUCUCGUGAAAUUUCAUUUAAGAGCUCACUUACCAUUUGUUGAAGGGGAUGAUGAUAGUGUUCUUGGAAGUAUGACAAAUAA